UGGAUAAUGUGAAUUAUGCAAUUAAAUUGAAAAUUGUGUCCAUUAUUUUAUAAGAAAUCAUCGUCGAGUUUAUUUAACCAUAAAGUUAUAGAAUUCGAUCUAUAAUUUUGCCAGAUUUCUCGUAUCAUGGAAGAUGCAUAGAAGAUCUUGCAUUACUUACGCAACGUGUAGACGAUCAAAUAUGAUUGGUGUUAAAAAGUGAUGGUGAUGAUUUAUAUAAAGCAAAGCUGGGUGGCUUAAAAAAUAUCACAAUCAUAUUAUCAUCUGUUAUUCUGUUACUGUAUUUCUUCUGUAAAAUUUGCCUUAUAAAUCAGGCAAUUCUGCAGUAUAUGUGACUGUAAUACAUCAAAAUAUAAGAUAAUGUGCAAUUGAACGUCCUGAAUCCUGAAUUAUUUGUUGGGGGGAGGUAGUACAUCCAUCUGAAAAUCAUGGAUUUGGCAGGGUUGAUGUCAUCGUCAUCAUCAUCAGGCCAGUCGAAACCUAAGGGAGCUGAUGGGCUGUUUGGGAACGUCAAGGGUCUGACCCCAUCAUCCACGACAAGGCAACGACGACCCAAUGCAGACGUCGUAGAUGAGGGGUUCGUGGAGGAGGACGAGGAGUGGUGCAGCCCAGUGACAAAAAUCCUCAAGCUCCCCUUUGACCACGAAAGUUGGCAACAUGCCCACGAACUCUUGGAACCACCCUCGCCAAAGUCCAGAAAAGUUGCAGAUGAGGCAAGAAGCAUUGCGGCUCGUCAUAUAAUUGACCGUCUGCAUGAGGAGGAUUUGUUGAACAAGAUUCAAAAAGUUGCACCUCGCCUUCGAUCUGCUGUGGAACUUCUUUCUAAACCGGACGGAGAUUACGUUUAUCCUAAAUUUCAGUUUAUUGUCAACGACCUGAGGAGAAGAUAUCCUGAGGUUUAUACAUCGGUUUUAGAUAAUGUGAAGCUGCAAAUACCAGUGGAUAUGAAGCCAUCCACCAUACUAGUCUCACUCGCCAAGUCAACUGUAGAAAAUACAUUUGGACAAUUGGAAAUGGACUGGGGAAAAUUUGCUGCAUUGCUGGGACUCGCUGGAGCACUAGCAGUUGAUUCUGUGAAAGCUGGAUACCCGGAAGGAGUCGCAGAGGUGGUGGAAGCCUUUGGUGUCAUAGUCGAACAAGUUUUGGGGGAAUGGAUUCUAUCAGACGGUGGAGGAUGGGAAGGUUUCAUCGAACUCAACGUCUACACGGCCAAGCUGCCCCCAGUUCUCCGCACAAUUAUCAUACUCUGUGCCCUCAGUAUAGUCGUGUACCUACUCUUUUACCUCAUCAUGUCCACUGCACUUGUAUUGUUGCACAGUCUGGGAGUACUGGGGGAAGACGAGGAGAUGCUCUUUUUCCAAAAGUGGUACGGAAUUUAUCCUAAAGCUUAUUGUACGGAGAAGCUUGACGCUAUGGGAGGGAAGUCUUUCUCUCCAGUGGACCCUUUUCAGUAUCUAUUAGCUCUGCAUGAUGGAAAAUUCUAACAAUAAGUUGUAAUCGACACAUAAUUAUCAAUCAAUUCUUUUUGCUUGUGAUAAACAUGAUUUACUGGAAAUCAUAAAUUAUGUGAUACAUUGGCUUGGGUGAGAACCAGAUGUCAGAGGAUCGGUUAAUCCCUUGGAAUGCUUGUGCUUGGAAUGGACAUUCGAGUCGAAUGAUUCAAUUAGAACAAGAAAACGCAUAAAAAUCUAUAUAUCAAUCAAAUAUAUCAAAUAAUCUCAUUAUAAGGUGUAUGUCAAAAUAAUAAGAAUAAGAAUAUUUACUAAUAUUAAAUGUUGUAAGGUGCUACAUUUAGGCAUAAUUGCCUAUGUAUAAUUGUACUGAACAUAUAGCUCACAAGUUUCUCAAUGCUUAAUAAGGCAAGCCAAGUAAUUGUACUAUAAUUUAAAUAAAGCUAGAAACUUACUAAAAAAACG